AGUGAGAGGCCAACAGACAAGCCAGUUGGCCUUGAGCUCCGGCUCACUAAUAAUAGCAUCAUCCAGGCCGGCUCAGAGCUGCGGGGACUGCAGGAUGACAUCACCCAGAUGGAAGCAGAAGGGAUGGGCAAACCGCAAGGUCCCAAGGGCUGAUGAACACUGGAAGCUGCUUGAGAAAACCCAGGCUGGAGUGCAGCAGUGCAAUCUCAGUUCACUACAACCUCUGCCUCCCAGGUUCAAGAGAUCCUCCCACCUCAACCUCUUGAGUAGCUGGGACUACCAGCAGGAAUUAGACAACAGAUUCCUGAGGAUUCUUUGUGGAGCAAUUCCAGGAGGAAGUAAGUCAGCAAGGGAGCUUGGGAAAGGCCGUGGCUGGAGAGUCAUGCAUCUGGCCCCUCUUGCCAUGACUGCCGAACGGGCACACCUGGAUGUGAUGUUUGCUGCACAGCCUCGGGCUCUUCCUCUGUAAGAUGCUCAUUGCUUUUAUCCCACUUGUCCUCUUUUUGCUGAGAAGGGUGGCCAGAGUGUGCUUUCACAGGGACUCAGGGAAGGGAGCAGGGAGGGAGUCAAAGCCAAUGAGGACUGUGGAUGGGAACAGCCAAUGCGAGAGCUGCAGAGCUGGACCCUGCAGCACAAGGGAG
rnacentral:lncRNA from 1 species